GCUGUAGCUCAGUGGGUGUAAAGCACAUGCCCUGCAUGCACUAGGCCCCAGGUUUGAUCCUUGGUUUCUCCC